GGGAACUUGAAAUUGAGCACACAGAGCCUCUCUCAAGGAUCUGAGAAAUCAUGGAGCCCAAGAAGGGCUAAAAGACAGGAGAAGUUUGAGAAUUCUGACCCUUCAAACUUUCAAAAAAGAAGAGAAAUAAUUUCAAAACACUCUGGUCUGUCAUCAUGAACUUGGUCUCAGUUCUGCAAAGUACUAUCAAGUCAAUGACUGGUGUCCAGACUUCCGGAGCUGGGAAGGGUGGAGAACCUUGAAAUCUGAAUUUGAACAAAGCAUCUGGCCAAGACUCAUACUACACCUCUGGCUGACUGAGACGCACGGUGUCCAUCGUCUACUUGACUUUCCUCAUCACCUUGAAGGCUGCUCGUUUGGGGUUUCACUUGGAAUUUCAUUGGUUUAUGCCAACAGAGUUUUUUGUACCAGGUCAGCUGUGGUGGUGUUUUAAUCACAGACAACCCCUCAUUUUGCAUUUUGGACCUGUAUAAGAUGAUCUCAUACUUCACUUAAAGAUCAAUCUAGAAGCAGACUGCAAAAGACAAAGACUACUUUCUUCUAAAUGCAUAAAUGAGGUUUGGCUUGAAGUGACUGUGAAUUACAGUUGUCUAGCAGCUAUGAGAGAUGUCAUCCAGGAGAUGAGAAGGGAAUAACGAGGCAAGCUGUUGCCUUUCUUCACGGAGGACACUCAGGGACACCCAAGGUAUGCACAUG